CCGUCAUUGGCCCCGGCAAUGUGGGGAUGGCAAUAGCCCAAACCAUCCUCACCCAAGACUUAGCCGACGAGCUGGCUCUCGUCGACGCCAAGGCCGACAAGCUCCGCGGUGAGAUGCUCGACCUCCAGCACGCGGCUGCCUUCCUCCCCCGCACGAAAAUCCAGGCUUCCACUGAUUAUUCCGUCACUGUCGGAUCCGAUCUCUGUAUCGUCACUGCUGGGGCGCGCCAGAUCCCGGGAGAGUCUAGGCUGAACCUGCUGCAGAGGAACGUGAACCUGUUUGAAAAGAUCAUCCCUCCGCUUGCCAAGUACUCGC
rnacentral:misc_RNA from 1 species